AGGACGAACGCUGGCGGCGUGCUUAACACAUGCAAGUCGAGCGGAAAGGCCUUUCGGGGUACUCGAGCGGCGAACGGGUGAGUAACACGUGAGUAAUCUGCCCAUCGCUUCAGGAUAGCCAUCGGAAACGGUGAUUAAUACUGGAUAUGACAUUCCUUCGCAUGUUGGGGUGUGGAAAGUUUUUUCGGCGGUGGAUGUGCUCGCGGCCUAUCAGCUUGUUGGUGGGGUAAUGGCCUACCAAGGCUUUGACGGGUAGCCGGCCUGAGAGGGUGACCGGCCACGACUGGGACUGAGACACGGCCCAGACUCCUACGGGAGGCAGCAGUGGGGAA
rnacentral:rRNA from 1 species